rnacentral:rRNA from 1 species
CAGCCGUAAACUAUGCGCGUUAGGUGUGCUGGUGACCACGUGUCACCGGGGUGCCGAAGGGAAACCGUGAAACGUGCCGCCUGGGAAGUACGGUCGCAAGGCUGGAACUUAAAGGAAUUGGCGGGGGAGCACCACAACGGGUGGAGCCUGCGGUUUAAUUGGACUCAACGCCGGAAAUCUCACCGGAUAGGACAGACAAAUGAUAGUCGGGCUGAAGACUCUACUUGAUGAUCUGAGAGGUGGUGCAUGGCGUCAGUGACU